CCCCCUGGCAAUGGGCGAGGACACACCCGAUUGGUGGUGUUGCUCGUACAUCAGGCCGGGGCGGAGCAUGUACGGUCCUUAGUUCAUCCUCGCUUGUUGCCUGUGAUGGUGGCCAGCGCAGGGUCAUGCCUGGGGCUCAUUA